CAAAGGUUUGGUCCUGGCCUUGCUGUCAGCUAUAGUUAGAAUUACACAUGCAAGUAUCCGCACCCCUGUGAGGAUUCCCGUACUCACCCCUCAGGUGAGACGGAGUAGGUAUCAGGCACAACUUAUAAGUUCACCGAAGCCCAAGACGCCUUGCUAAGCCACGCCCCCAAGGGUAUUCAGCAGUGAUAGACCUUAAGCAAUAAGCGAAAGCUUUACUUAGUCAUAACUAAUAGAGCUGGUAAAGUCCGUGCCAGCCACCGCGGUUACACGGACAGCUCAAGUUGACGAAGGACGGCGUAAAGGGUGGUUAGGGAACAAUAUAAACUAAAGACGAAAGACUUCAAGACCGUUGCACGCUGCCUCGGAGCCUGAAAAUCAUCCACGAAAGUGACUUUAUACUACCCGACCCCACGAAAGCUGAGGUACAAACUGGGAUUAGAUACCCCACUAUGCUCAGUCUUAAACAUUGAAUAAAUUUAACCAUUUUAUUCCGCCUGGAAACUACGGACAUUAGUCUAAAAACCAAAGGACUUGGCGGUGCUUUAAAACCCCNUAGAGGAGCCUGUCCUGUAACCGAUGACCCCCGUUCAACCUCACCCUCUCUCGCCUAGCCCACUUAUAUACCGCCGCCGUCAGCCUACCCUGAGAAGGGAUAAUAGUAUGCAUAAUUGGCACAGCCCUAAACGUCAGGUCGAGGUGUAGUGCAUGAGAGGGGAAGAGAUGGGCUACACUUGCUCGCCUUGAGCAAAUACGGACGUUUUGUUGAAACACGAAACUGA
rnacentral:rRNA from 1 species